UAAAGUGUUUCUUAAGGAUACCGACUUAGGUGAGAGAGAAACGGAGGUUUCUUUCACCUUCGGGGAGUUAACCCGUUUGGCCAGUCAACAACAAACAGUAGGUAAGGUAACUGUAUAUUUUCUAAGGAAUAAGAAAGAUGAAAUGGAAGAGGAUGAGAAUAUGCUAAGAAGGGGGUGAAGAAGAAUGAACCUGAACACGCAAAGUUAACUUUAAGAGAAGGAAGGAGGUCGAAUGAUGACAGCAGAAACAAUAAAUGAACGAGGUUUAGAAAAGGAAGUAGUGAUGAAGAACAAUGAGUUGGAGUGCGAAAAAGUGGGCAAGGAAAUUUAUUCCGAGAUUGAUGAAGAGGAGUGAGUCAUAAUAAUGAAGUGAAAAGUAAAAAUAAAACAUCAUUUGCAUUUGAAAGAAACUUUAAAUGCAUCCAAUGAAAAGUGGGAGGUGAAACAUUUCCGAUUAUGAAUGAAAUGUUGAGCAUGCUGAAGAGGAAUGAAUCGUUAAUGAAACGGAAAUCAAGUAAUGACCAAUUUACAUUUAAAAGAAGAAUCUGAGAUGUAAUGAAGAGUGUGGAGGUGGUGAUGGAAAACUGAUUAAUGAUGAAUGAAUACACUUGGUUCACUAACGAUUACAUUGGUGUUAAUUUUAAUUCGAAAUGUUAGAAUUAUGAAUAAUUAUUAAAGAAUGAAUAAGAAUAAAAAGGAAGUGGAGACGGAAGAUAAUCUAAGAAUCACUAGAAAUGUAAAUCAUAUCUAAAAAUACAUGUUUAUAAUAGUUUUAAUGAUGAAUGAAAAGUAAGUUAACAUAA